GGUGAACGCUAGCUACAGGCUUAACACAUGCAAGUCGAGGGGUAACAAGAGAAAAGCUUGCUUUUCUUGUUGACGACCGGCGCACGGGUGAGUAACGCGUAUCCAACCUGCCCAUAACUAGGGAAUAACCUUGCGAAAGUAAGACUAAUACCCUAUAAUUUCCUUUGACGGCAUCUGACGAGGAAUAAAGAUUUAUCGGUUAUGGAUGGGGAUGCGUCUGAUUAGCUUGUUGGCGGGGUAACGGCCUACCAAGGCAACGAUCAGUAGGGGUUCUGAGAGGAAGGUCCCCCACAUUGGAACUGAGACACGGUCCAAACUCCUACGGGAGGCAGCAGUCGAGGAUCAUUCGCAAUGGGCGGAAGCCUGACGAUGCGACGCUGCGUGGAGGACGAAGGCCCUCGGGUCGUAAACUCCUGUCAUGGGGGGAGAGGCGGAGGCCGCGAACGGCGACCCGAGUUGACGGUACCCCAAGAGGAAGCCACGGCUAACUCUGUGCCAGCCGCCGCAGUAA
rnacentral:rRNA from 1 species